GACAAGCUGGCCCAAGUCUUGUGUUCAAGGGGCUAUUCUCAUUCAGAGAGUGAUUACUCUCUAUUCUACAGAAAGAUUGGGAGUUCUUUGGUUUUUGUUGCUGUUUAUGUUGAUGAUAUUGUCUUGACAUGUACUGAUGUUGAAGAAAUCACUUCUCUGAAAGGUUACCUUCAUGAUAAAUUCAAGAUAAAAAACUUAGGAAGACUUCAAUACUUUCUUGGUUUGGAAAUAUCAUAUAAGGAUUGUGGAGUCUUAAUUUCUCAAAGAAAGUUCACCUCAGAUUUGCUGAAAGAAUUUGAAUGUUCAAGCUACACACCAGUGACAUCACCUCUUGAAUCUACAGUCAAGCUCAAAGCAAGUGAAGGCCUAUUGUUGAAGGAUCCUACACACUACAGAAAGUUGGUAGGCAAACUGAAUUUUUUGACUAACACAAGAAUGGACAUAGCAUUCAGUGUCCAACAUCUUAGUCAAUUCCUUCAGAAUCCCAGAGAACCACACCUCAAGGCUGCAUACCAUAUUCUAAGAUACCUCAAAAAUGAUCCUUGCUUGGGAAUAUAUUUGUCCAACAACACAGACUGCUCAAUAACUGCAUAUUGUGAUUCAGAUUGGGCUUCAUGCCCUGAUACAAGAGAGUCAGUAAAUGGUUAUGUAGUGUUGAUGGGAGAUAGUCCUAUUAGCUGGAAGUCCAAGAAGCAAACAACCAUAUCUCUGUCCUCAACAGAGGCAGAAUACAGAGCAAUUAGAAAGGUGGUAGGAGAAAUAGUAUGGCUGGAAAGGUUGUUGACAGAGCUGAACAUGACAUGUACCUUGCCUAUAGCUGUGUUUUGUGAUAGUCAGGCAGCCAUUCACAUAGCCAGGAACCCUGUGUUCCAUGAGAGAACAAAGCACAUAGAAGUGGAUUGCCACUUUGUUAGAGAUAAACUGCAAGGAGGUCUCAUUGCACUUCAUCACAUUCCAACUGAAGAUCAGCUAGCAGAUGUCCUGACUAAGGCCUUGCCAAAUAUCAAGCAUUCCCAUAUUUUGCACAAGUUGUUUGUGAGCUUCCCACCUCCAACUUGAGGGGGGGUGUUGAGAUAAAUAUUAUUAUUAUUAUCCAAUUGUAAUUAGACUAGCUGGCAGAUUAGUUAUGUGAUUAGUUAGUUAGUCUUUCU
rnacentral:lncRNA from 1 species